rnacentral:rRNA from 1 species
AAAUUGAAGAGUUUGAUCAUGGCUCAGAUUGAACGCUGGCGGCAGGCCUAACACAUGCAAGUCGAACGGUAACAGGAAGAAGCUUGCUUCUUUGCUGACGAGUGGCGGACGGGUGAGUAAUGUCUGGGAAACUGCCUGAUGGAGGGGGAUAACUACUGGAAACGGUAGCUAAUACCGCAUAACGUCGCAAGACCAAAGAGGGGGACCUUCGGGCCUCUUGCC